CAAAGGCUCUGCUCUCGAGCAAUUAUUUAUCGUACAAAAGCAGCGUCCGAUUGACGCUUUUUGUACGGGCUAAAAAGCUCUACGGCCUUUUUCGGCCAUUACUACUCCACGAGGUGGACAUCUGGACCGUGCAGGCCCGCCAUUACGGUAGCCAAACGGGUAUAGAGGCCCUCCGACCUGCCGAGAAUCCGGAGAAGGUUCAUUUCGUCACGGUGGUCGCGUAGUCCCGAAGGCGAAGACCAGUUGGAGGCACGUUGGCCUUCUACGAGAGGAGACGGUAGAGUAUCGGACAUCAGCCAUUGCCCAUACCCGCAACUUUACUUCGGCCUAUCACGCACGUGUGCCCCUCCCGGCGACGCUUCUGCCGAGGAGUCGGGGUGUUUCCUGAAACGCAUGGUUCGGACACCCACUGCAGCCGGUACCCAGUGCUGAACAUCACGCGACGUCGCUACACCCCUGCCGGUUCGCUCAGCUGCCAGCAUUAACAUAAAUCCUGAUCAGGUAUGUCGUUAACCAUGGCCAUGUCACUCACACUACAACACUCACACUUACACCUUACACAUAAAUGAAUUACCCGAAAAAAUGAAUACAAUACAUAAAUGAAUUCAAUCUAAA